AUCAAACAUUGAAUUUAGUUGUCAAAUAAGCAUUAAAUAUUUAAAUUAAGCUCAACAAUUUUCACAAAAUAACCACAAUCAAGUAACGAAGUAAUACAUGCAGAGGAUAAAAAGGUUAACAACAAAGUUUUACACCAAAAAAAAAGGAAAUAGAUUUAUGAAAAGUGAAAAAGAAAAAAAAUGGAAUCUGGGUCGUGCAGCCGAUGAACAAGGACUACCCACCUCAAACCAGAAACUGUGUGUCUUUGCCUCAACUGAACUAAUUCACUAGCUGCCACUGAAGGUGGUCUCUCUUUCUUAACAAGCCUUUCAUUCCGCAGGAAUCUGCCCCUGAGUAGCGACUGAAGUAAAAUACAUAAAUUUCAGGUCUUCAAGAAUCUACGUCGAAACUCAAGUCCUUCAUAGGCGCUUUCCAGUUAACAGACAAACAUGUCCAUUACAUGGUAAAUCUCAAGUGACAACGGUGGAGGCUUUUAGAUUUAGGGUUAUUGGAGCUGAAGAAGAAAGAAAGAAAACGACGGAAAGAGAAGCAGAGGAGCUGACCCAAGAGUUUUGUUAAUUUCGUCUGAUUUUUUUAGUCGGUCAGUCAAA
rnacentral:lncRNA from 1 species